GGUCAAGGAUGGACUCGCGGCCUAUCAGGUAGUUGGUGAGGUAACGGCUCACCAAGCCUACGACGGGUAGCCGGCCUGAGAGGGUGACCGGCCACACUGGGACUGAGACACGGCCCAGACUCCUACGGGAGGCAGCAGUGGGGAAUAUUGCACAAUGGGCGAAAGCCUGAUGCAGCAACGCCGCGUGAGGGACGACGGCCUUCGGGUUGUAAACCUCUUUUAGUAGGGAAGAAGCGAAAGUGACGGUACCUGCAGAAAAAGCACCGGCUAACUACGUGCCAGCAGCCGCGGUAAUACGUAGGGUGCGAGCGUUGUCCGGAAUUAUUGGGCGUAAAGAGCUCGUAGGCGGUCUGUCGCGUCUGCUGUGAAAUCCCGAGGCUCAACCUCGGGCCUGCAGUGGGUACGGGCAGACUAGAGUGCGGUAGGGGAGAAUGGAAUUCCUGGUGUAGCGGUGGAAUGCGCAGAUAUCAGGAGGAACACCGAUGGCGAAGGCAGUUCUCUGGGCCGUAACUGACGCUGAGGAGCGAAAGCGUGGGGAGCGAACAGGAUUAGAUACCCUGGUAGUCCACGCCGUAAACGUUGGGCGCUAGAUGUGGGGACCAUUCCACGGUUUCCGUGUCGCAGC
rnacentral:rRNA from 1 species